AACUUUAACAGCCAAUCAGCAGCCUAAACAUCCGCCAAUCAGGGAACAGGAUUGAAUCACAGCCUUUGUGUCCUGCGCUGUCAAGGAGUCCGCGAAAGCUCCACCAAUAGAAAAAGUCAUUGAUGUAUGCAAAUGAGUGUCCUAUGACGCAAUACGCAGCGUGAAGCAUGGGUAUAAAAGUGGAGGCUUCUGGGGUUUGGAGAGCAGAGCUGUGUAGUUGGUCUUUGGUGGAGUGCAUUUUUUGCUCUCAUCAGCUGCAUCUCUACUGAGCGCCAGCGGCGUGGAGGUCUGAGCAUCAGCCUAAGACUUCGUCGUUGGGAAUGAGAAAAAACGUUGGGAUUGAUCUCCCCUAUAAGAUUUACCAAAAUUCUACUUCCAGAAGGAAAUUGGGAGGAGAUGGCCAGAGUGAUCCUCUUUGUAAAAAGAAAAAUGUGGUGCUAAGAAUAUUUUUGAAAUUUGAUGAAUUAUGGAUCUGGCAAGAAAGCAAGAAACCCAAGGCCAAACAUGAAGUGGAAGCACAAACCUCUGGGGUGGAAGACAUGUUUUAAAAACCCAAGCGUCUUAUGGAAAAACUCCCAUGGAAAGCAGAGACCUCAAAGAGUCAUUCUGUCAGGUGUGGAGCUGGGGAUGCAGCUAAGCCUGAGACCCACAGAGAAACCUUCCCUGGGAUGCAGUGACCAAGGCAGCAGCAGGGAGAGACUCUGCCCCAAGCAGAUGCAAGCCCUGUGUUCUCACACACAGCCAGGACAAGGUGACACCAAUGUGUGUAUCGCUGUGGACCAGUCUUGAGGUCAAAGCCCAGGAUGUCUGGGUCACACCUGCUGUGUUGGACAGUGAAUCUGCCAAAGGAUUUCUCACAGUCCCCAUCCCUGCCUUCUUGAUCGCUGCUGUGACUUCUUGGUCCCAUAGAGCUGGCAUUUGUUCUGGGUUUGGAAGCAGAUCGCUCUCUGCCCAGUGAUCCCAUGUGAGAAGCUCCAGAACAGAGAAGCUUGUCCUGGAUCUGAGAAGUAGGAUCUCGUGGGCCUGGGAUUAAGGUGCCCAGAGCAAGCCCUCUAUUUGGAGGACAAUGUUUGCUCUCCUGGACCUGUUGUGAACCCAAAUUUUCAUUCAUCUCAGGCUGCCAGUGUGAUGUGGAGCCCACCUCAGCAAGAGAGAUUUGCAUAUCCAUUCCUGAUGCUUUAGAUGUGUAUUUUAACAAUGAUUCUCAGGUAAUUUUUAUGUAUAAAACACAGCUAAGUAGAUUACAAGUUAUAGUGCUUAAAACUUGCAUUAAAAUUUUAUUGCCAAAUUUUUGCUAUGCUUUUUAGUUAUUUUAAAAAUAAACAGCAUAAAAU
rnacentral:lncRNA from 1 species